CGUGACCGUGGGCGAAUUUCGCUCAUA
rnacentral:sRNA from 1 species